UCUGCGCGGCGGGGCGGGGCGGAGCGAACCAGCGCGGAAAGAAACGCCCCGUCGGCCGCCUGCCGCCCGCCAAAUCCGCCCCCAGAGCUCGGCGGGCACUGCGGCACCGGGCCGGCUGCUCGGCCGCCUCUUCCCACCUCCGACCCAACCGGCGGGGUGGGCUCUGCCGGAGGGCACUGACGCCGAAGAGGGCAAGGCCACCAGCGACAAGCCUGGCACAGCAAGGCACUGGGAGCGGGAUGCAGAAACCCUGGUCAUCUGCUGGGCUCUGAACCACACCUGGAAGGAACAAACUGCCAACACCUGCCUGCAGCAAGCACCCCAAAACAAAUAACGUGCUUCCUUGCUUUGUUUUCAUAGCUCUAAAUCUGCAAUCCUGUGGAAAUAUGUCUGCUUGAAACAGAAAACGCACCUUAGAGCACCGUCAUGCCUUUCCGAGUUAAUGCUUGUAGACCUAGGGGUUUUCUCCUUGGUGCUCAUCCCCAGGUACCCGUGCUGCAGAGAAUGACUGUCCUGUGACGUAGCAUUAACCCUGCCCAAAUGGAGGAACAGCAGCGCUCACAGUUCAGACAAACACUCUGCAGAGUGAGAAACCUUUUCUAGUGUAGUUUCACUGACUUUUAUCAAGGCAAAAGUCUAUUAGUUCUGUUUGGAACAAUUCACAAGUACUAUCUAAAUCAAGAAGGUUCAUAGGAAUAAUUAAGUUGCAUGGAACCUGUCCUGUAAUAGAAAAGUUAUUUGCUCUUUGGUCAAAAAUUUCAAUUAGAAAAUGCUUCAACAGAAGAAAAAAUACCUUACUAUGAUCAGAGUUUUGACAAAUAAAAUGCAACCAACUUAUUUUAUAAUUAGAUAUGACUACUCAUGCUUUGUACCUAUUAGCCAUUUCACUCCCACAGUGAAAUAAAAAUAAAGUCCAGAAUGUUCAA